UGCCAUCCUUUCAAGCUACACAUUUGGUUACAGAUUCUAUGAAGCCAUUUUAUCAUGAGCCGUGGACUUCUUGGAGACAGAUACCGUACAACAUCAGAGAGCAAAUGUGGAAUCAAUUUAGGACAAGGUGCACAUGGCAUCCUCGGCAUCAAAAUGCAAUAAAUAGUAUUUUUGAGAAGAAAGUUGCUAUAAGGAUUAAAGAUACUAUGUGCGCUGCUCGGAAUUCCGGUAAUAUGACGGACUGGUUAAGAGAAGAUGUUUGGGAUAAACUUCUUGAGAAAUAGAAUACUCCAGAAUGGAAAGCAAAGAGUGAACAAGCAAAGGCAAACCGUGCCUCUAGAAAAGGUGGCUCGUUGCACACAGGAGGUUCGAUUACUUUUGAGGCCCAUAAACUAAGAAUGGAAAAGGAAAGAUGACGAGAUGUGAGUUAUGCUGAGGUCUUUGAGGAGUUGCAUAAGAAAAAGGAAAAGGAUGGUACAAGAGAACACUGGGUGGAAACGCGUGCGUCAGACACAUAUGAAGAUUAUCAUAAAAGGUUGGAAGAAUGGCAACAAAAUCAGCCUCCUUCAACUCAACCAACACCUGAUGAUAUGGCUUCAUUGUGGACAGAGGCAGCGGGUAGAGCAAACAAAGGCAGAGUCUACGGACUAGGAGUACAUCGACCUACAAGUCAUCCAAACCCACUCUUAGCCAAUUCUUCUUCUCCUCAAAGUCAAGAACAGAUGGAAGAUAUGAGAAACAAAAUUCGUGAAUUGAAGCAACAAUUGGACUCCCAAUACGAAACAUUUGUUAAGAUGCAGAAAUUCAUGCGUAAACAUAGGCAUGAUUUAUCUGAUGAUCAGGAUGAACAAACUGAAUCUGAUGUGUAGUAGUUUAGUUGUGAUAUUUUGGUUGAUUGGUAAACUUGAUUGUGAGAGACAACUUUAUGUAUUGCUUUUAAACUUGAAUAUGGGCUGUUAUUUGGAU